UACGUAGGGCGCGAGCGUUGUCCGGAUUUACUGGGCGUAAAGGGCUCGUAGGCGGUUUGUCGAGUCGGUCGUGGAAAUGCCCGGCUCAACUGGGCACGGGCGGUCGAUGCGGGCAGACUCGAGGGCGGUAGGGGCAAGUGGAAUUCCGGGUGUAGCGGUGAAAUGCGCAGAUAUCAGGAGGAACACCGAUGGCGAAGGCAGCUUGCUGGGCCGUUCCUGACGCUGAGGAGCGAAAGCGUGGGUAGCGAACAGG
rnacentral:misc_RNA from 1 species